GACGAACGCUGGCGGCGUGCCUAAUACAUACACGUAGCACGCAGAUGCGAACGGGUGAGUAACGCGUAGUUAACUGCCUAAUAGCGGGGGAUAACUAUUGGAAACGAUAGCUAAUACCGCAUACUGUGAGAUGGACAUGCUUGGUAUUAGCUAGUUGGUGAGGUAAAGGCUCACCAGGGAGACGAUUCAUAGCCGACCUGAGAGGGUGAUCGUCCAAACUGGUACUGCUACACGGCCCAGACUCCUACGGGAGGCAGCAGUAGGUAAUAUUCGGCAAUGGACAGCAGUCUGACCGAUCAAAGCCGCGUGAGUGAAGAAGGUUUUCGGAUCGUAAAGCUCUAUUGUUAGAGAAGCGGUAACUAACCAGAAAGGGACGGCUAACUACUUGCCAGCCGCCGCGGUAAUUC
rnacentral:rRNA from 1 species